rnacentral:rRNA from 1 species
UACGUAGGGUGCAAGCGUUACUCGGAAUUACUGGGCGUAAAGCGUGCGCAGGCGGUUUUGUAAGUUUGUCGUGAAAGCCCCGGGCUCAACCUGGGAAUGGCGAUGAAGACUGCAAGGCUUGAAUCUGGCAGAGGGGGGUAGAAUUCCACGUGUAGCAGUGAAAUGCGUAGAGAUGUGGAGGAACACCGAUGGCGAAGGCAGCCCCCUGGGUCAAGAUUGACGCUCAUGCACGAAAGCGUGGGGAGCGAACAGG